rnacentral:lncRNA from 1 species
CGUCAUGGUUGUAUACUGCUCCCUCCUUAAAGACAAUAUAUCUCUCUCAAAAUCAAUUCAGUGGGCAUAUCAAAGAAUUCCAAUCCAAAUCACUAGAAUGGAUAUGGUUAGAGAAUAAUAAACUCCAAGGUCCUCUUCCAUCUUCAAUAUUCCAACUUCUCAAUCUUACCCAACUUAGCUUAUCCUCAAAUUAUCUUAGUGGUGUCAUAGAGUUUCGCAUGUUCUCAAACCUUCCAAAUCUCGAAUAUCUUGACCUUUCAUAUAACAGCCUAUCCUUAACAUCUAAUACAACUUCUACUGUUAAUCUUACAAGCUUAUUUUUGUCAUCUUGCAAUCUUAGUGAAUUCCCCCAAUUUUUAAAAGGGCUUAAAAGUUUGGAAAGCUUAGACCUCUCUUGCAACAAAAUUGAAGGCAAGAUUCCACAGUGGAUGCGAGAGGUGGGGAAUGGCUCUUUGACUCACUUAAAUGUAUCUCACAACACUUUGACAGAAGUUGAGCACUUUCCAUGGAAGAAUAUUGAUGUUCUUGACUUAAGCUCCAAUUUGAUCAGUGGAAAUCUUCCGAUUCCAGCUUCGACCAUAAGAGUCUUUUUGAUCUCAAAUAAUAGUUUCAAUGGAGAGGUCUCUUCUUUAAUAUGCAAUGCCGCUUUUCUUGAAAUUCUUGAUUUGUCCCACAAUAACUUGAGUGGAACAAUUCCACAAUGUUUUGGAAAUUUGAGCAACAGCCUUCUAUUCUUGAAUCUGAAGAAGAACAAGUUUUAUGGGACGAUUCCUCCAGCAUUUGCAAAGGGAUGCCGAUUGAGUAAUUUCAACUUAAAUGGAAAUCUGUUAGAAGGGCCUUUGACACCAUCCAUGAUCCAUCCUUAAUUGUAAUGGUCUGGAAGUGCUAGAUCUUGGUAACAACAAGAUCAAUGAUACAUUUCCUCAUUGGUUGGGAAGUCUUCCACAGCUACAAGUUCUUGUAUUGAAGUCAAAUCAACUGCAUGGUUCCUUAUGUGUCAAUAGCUCCAAGUCUAUCCCUUUUUUCUCUAAAAUCCAAAUUUUUGAUCUCUCAAGUAAUUAUUUUUCUGGACCCCUACCAGUGAGAUACAUCAACAGCUUCAAGGCUAUCAUAAAUCUAGAGAAGAUUGGGAGUACAAUGUCGUACAUGGGGGUGUAUGCUCAGAGAGGUAGUGCCUUCUAUACCCAUUCCAUUGGAAUUGUUAUGAAAGGACAAGAUAGGGAAUUGGUGAAAAUUUUCACCAUGUGGAUGAUCAUUGAUCUAUCAAACAAUCAGUUUCAAGGGGGUAUUCCAAAGGUUAUUGUGAAGCUUAACUUGCUGAAAGGGCUCAACCUUUCUCAUAAUAACCUUAAUGGUGGUAUCCCCACCUCAAUAGGGAAUUUGACAAGUCUUGAAUGGUUAGACCUAUCUUCAAACAGUUUGUCUGGGACGAUUCCAAAUAGAUUGGCAGAUCUGCCAUUUCUUUCGUCCUUCAAUGUUUCUGAAAAUCAACUCCAUUGUCAGAUUCCUCAAGGCAAACAGUUCAACACAUUUGGAAAUGAUUCAUAUGAAGGAAACAAGGGAUUAUGUGGAUUUCCGGUCUCAAAAGGUUGCAACAUCAUUGAGCCAGCACCUCUAAAUGUGCUUGAAAAAGAUGGCUCAAAAUCAAACAUUACUUUUGGUUGGAAAGUGGUGUUGAUAGGUUAUGGAUGCGGAGUGGUGUUCGGAAUGUCCGUGGGAUAUGUUGUUUUCCAAACUGGUAAGCCGAAAUGGUUGGUGAAUUUGGUUGAAAUCCAACAUGAGAAGAAGCGAAGAAGAAAGUCAAAGGAUGGCAGUCGCAGCAAUGGAUGAAGAAGGAUCUAGUUAGUGGAAAUGAUGUUCAAGUGUUGAUGUUGUAUCUUCAUAAUUUCUUGUUUUGAAGUCUUUCAAUUUUUUUCCUAUGGUGAAAGGUUGCAUUGCCAUGCAUCUGUCUUUACUUUUGUAACAAUUCAUCUGUCAUAAUAUUAUAGAUUUUAUUGAUUUUAAUUUUUUCUCUAAUUUUUAAUAAAAAUAGGGGCAUAAUUGCUUUUUUUUUUUAAGUUUGAGAGUAUUUUUUAUGCAUUUUGAAAGUUCAAGUACCAAAUUGAGUGCAAAAAAAAAAAGAGUAGGGGCUUAAUUACUUUUUUUGAAAAUGUUUGAGAGCUUUUUUGAUGUAUCAAAUGAAAUACAAAUUUUGAGUAAAUCAACUAUUCAUUUUUAUGAAUAAAAAUUAUAUGGUAAAAAGGAAGUAGUGUUAAUAAUAAUAAAAAAGAUCAACAAUAGAAAACUAAUAAAGCAAUUUAGCCUAUGAUCUGCGCAAUAUAUUACUACAAAUGUACUGUACAAAAUAUUGAAGAAAACUAAUAAAGAAAUCUGAAAUUUUAACAAGUUCCGCAAAUAAUGUUUAUGAUUUGCUGUAAAUUGAUAUGUCAAAUUAGGCUCUCCAUCACACUUAAAAGUUUAUUUUCGAGCAAUUUAGAUAUCUUUGUUGCGUUUUUAUUUUGUUUUAGUUGUUUAUAUUAAUAAAUGAUUAGUGUGCAUUUUGAUGCUAUUUUAAGACCUGAGAUGGCCAAAUGGCACCCGGGGAAUCUAAUGAGGUUGGUGAGUGAUGCAGAGAGCCCAUGGUGGCCCGGAAGGAACGAAAAUGUUACCUAGAAAGAGGGUAUCGCAUUUCAAAGCAUGAAAGUCGUAAUACCCAUAACAAUGUUAAAAACAAGGAAGAUUGAGCCAUCAACAAUGUUAUCGUGAUACCGGUCAUAAGAUAUCGCGAUACCCAAAACUUCCAAGGAUCCCCCAAGACUGUUGUGGAUAUCGCGAUACCAAACUUUGGGUAUCGCAAUAUCAUUGAUGAGAGGAGACAAAAUAUAACUGUAGGGGUAAUCCUUUUCCAACAUGUGGAAUGGCCAUGGGAUGUGUUGUUUUCCAAACCGGUAAGGCGAAAAGGUUCGUGAAUUUGGCUGAAGACCAACAUGAGAAGAGGCGAAGAAGAAAGCCAAAAUAUAGCAAUCGCAUCAAUGGAUGAAGAAGGAUCUAGUUGGUUCAAAUGAAGUUAAAGCAUUUGUGCUGUGUCUUCAUAAUUUCUUGUUUAGUAGUCUGUCAGAAAGUUUUUCCUAUGGUGAAAAGUUGCAUUGCUAUGUGUCUGUUUUUAUGAUUGUACCAAUUCCUCUGUAUUUCAUUGCAUUUCGUACUAUUUGUAAGGGUUUAGUUCAGUGUAACAUCUUGUAUGGUGCAACUAUGUAUGUCUUCUUUCUUGAAUUUCAACUUUUAGUAAACAUUAUACUGCUCACCAUAAAAAAAAUACAUGUAGAAUUACAAAAGAUUCAAUUAUUCAAGUUUGAGUUGCAUUUAUAAACAUGUGAUGAUGAGAAUUCAUGAACAAAAGGUAUGGUUUGAGCCCUUUUGCAAUAUGCGUUUAUGUUGCAUUUACCUAUAUAUCUAUCGACAAAUUUAAGAGUAAUAUUUACAAUAGCAUUGCAGAGUAACAUAUUUACGAUUGGAUUACACAGUCAAAAGAUUGCAGCAACGAUGAGAUUAAUCCAAUUACAGGAAUUGAUAUCCUAAAUGGCUUUUAGGUACGUAGCUUCAUUGACGGUACAAACUAGUUAAAAUUUCCAGAAUUCAUGUCUUUGUUUUCCCUCAAGUAAACGUAGUCAAUACUGCAAAUGGUGUGGAAGUAUUGUACAUUGUGGCCCAAAUGUCCAAAAUUUCCACAUUGCUUGUAAAUUAAGUGAUGAAAACCAAAACUGUUUGAGGCAUCCAAUUACCCACAGAGAUAGGAAGUAAGGACGCAUGUAUAAUUAUUAUCAUUAAUUAAAGCAUAUAUAAUUACAUUAAAUAUAGGAUAAACUAUAAAAAUAAUCACUUUUAUUUACCUCAUAUUACAUUUUAGUCACUUAUGUUUGAAAUGUUACAUUUUGGUCACUUACGUUAUCGUUUUGGUACGAAGUGGUCACUCUACCGUUAAGCUCCGUUACCUCCCUAACGGCGAUUCUACGUGAUAGUCCAAAUGAGUUUUAAAUGCCAACUUAAAUGUCUUGCGUGGCUGUCUAAAUUAAAUUUAUUUAAUUAAAAACUUAUUUUCAUCUCAACAACCGGACAUUCAAGUUCGCAUUUAAAACCCAUUUAGACUGCCACGUAGGACUGCCGAUAGGGAGGUAACAGAGUUUGAUAGUAGAGUAACCACUUCAUAACAAAACGAUAAUGUAAGUGGCUAAAACAUAACAUUUCAAACAUAAGUAAUUAAAAUAUAAUAUAAGGUAAACAAGCCUUAAAUAUAUAAAUUACUAUGAUUACUAUCAAGAUAGCAUUGACCUGUUCAACAGGCGGAACCAAUAGAUCUGACCAUUUGGUGACUCUAGCAGUCGAUAAGUGUGAGUGGCAGACUGUGCAACUUGUAACUAUGUUAAUUGAUGAAAAGCUUUUUGAUAGAAGAUAAUAAACUAGUGGCAAUGGCAAACGGUUCCAAGACGAGGUGGGACACCGAGGCUUUGUGUAACAGGGGAAUAGAUGCACUCAAUGCUGGCGGCUGUUGACUUGUAUUUCUCUCUAACAAUUUAAAUCACCAGCUUGCUUCAUCCAUCUAUAAAUAAGGGUCUUCUUCAGUUUCAUAAAUGCAUAGAAAAUUAACAAGCUCAAAUUCCUUCUUUUCAUAUUCAUCUCUUUUACUUUGAAUUGCAACUUUAUCCUGCCUAAAUUCCUCAACCAUGAACCACCCAUCAGGACAGCCUCAAAAUGAACUUCCUUGGUCCGCCGGAUUCUGCGAUUGUUGCUCUGACCUGAAAACUUGUAACCCUUUCUUCUUUCUUCAAUAUCAGUUCUGUCUUUUUAAUUAUAUGAAUUAGUUUAUCAAUUAAAUAUAUGGACAUUUCAGGUUGCAUUUCAUACUGGUGCCCAUCCAUCACCUUUGGCCAGAUUGCUGAGAUUGUUGAUAAAGGGUCGACUUGUAAGUUAUUAAUUUCUAAAUUGAAAUCUUAUCAUCUUAGGUUUUGCAGACAUAUAUAUAUUUAAAGAGAUAUUAUGUAAUUAAUAAUAAUGUUGAAAAACACUGUUGGAUGGUGCAGCAUGUCGGGCAAGUAGGGCACUAUACACAUUAAUAAUGUUCAUCACCGGGUGUGGGUGCUUAUAUUCUGGCUGCUACCGAUGCAAACUGAGAAAGCAGUAUAACUUGAAAGGAGGCGAUUGUGGCGAUUGCAUGCGUCAUUUCUGCUGCGAGCCUUGUGCCUUGACACAAGAGUAUCGUGAGCUCCAGAACCGUGGAUUCGACAUGUCUAUCGGUAUGUCUACAUACCAAUAUUAUACCCCUUUUAAUUAUUCUUAAUAUAACUUCAAGUAUAUUAAUUGAGUAGCUGUAAACAAAUAUCUCCGAAUAAAUAUGUUGGUAAUGAUGAGAUAAAUUAUUGUUUGAGGUCAUUAAUUUUGUGGGGGUAUAUUUAUAUAUGCAGGUUGGCAUGCAAAUGUGGAGAAGAACCCAGGGCUGGCAAUGGCUCCAGCGGUAGAAAAAGGCAUGAGCAAAUAGAUGAUGAUGAUGAUGAGACCACUGCAUUAAUAUCAUCUUUACAUGUAACACUUAAUUCCUUGGCUUUCCAUAAUUGGUUGAUUGUACGGCUUGCCAAUUGAAUUUCAAGUUAUGUAUGUUUGUGAUUGUCAAAUAUAUUAAUAAAAAGUGUUACUAUUCAUGUUAGAUCUUCAUGAAUAAGAAUGAGAAUCGAAAAUAACUUGUAAUAUUGUGUGUGCAUGUUUGGUAUUUAGGUGAAAUACUUAGAAAGAGAGGUUGGAUUAAAUUAAUUUUUUAUUAUCAAAAUGGAUGAUUUUAAUUUUUAUAUUAAUAAAAAGAAUUAAAUAAAAUUAAUAUUUAUUGUUUUAGAAAAUGACAUCAAAUUAUUGUUUUUUAUAGUUCAAUCCAAAUAAAAUAUCUACAAAAUCAUUAAAAACUUUUAAAAUGUGACUUUGUUAAAUAGUAAAUAGCAUUUUUUUAAAAGGGUUCAUAUAUAUCGUGAUACCUAAAGUUGGCAACUUCUACUUAGUAUCUAAAUCGGUACAUAAACUUGAAAAUUGUAAGUCAACUUCGUAUUUUUAUAAGUAUGAUGAUGUUGGUGUAGUGUGAGGAAGAAGACUUGAAUGGGUUUGAUUAUUUUUAAUAAUACAGGAAUUUACAUAUUAUAAGUAAAUAGACACUCACAUUCUUUAUGUAUUAUAAGGAAGAAGACUAAGUCGAUCUACUUUGUAAUCUCAUCAAUCUUAAUUUUCUCAAUUGUUAAGGGAGUUCAAAUGAAAUACAAAAUUUUGGUAAAAAAAAGUAUCCAAUUUUGUGAAUAAAAAAUAUAUGGUAAAAAAGAUUUGGUAUCGAUACUUCGGCGCGGGUAUCAAUACUCGAUACAUUGCUUUUGGUUGGAAAGUAGUGUCUGGAACGGCCAUGGGAUGUGUUGUUUUCCAAACCGGUAAGGCGAAAAGGUUUGUGAAUUUGGUUGAAGACCAACAUGAGAAGAGGCGAAGAAGAAAACCAAAAUAUAGCAAUCGCAUCAAUGGAUGAAGAAGGAUCUAGUUGGUGCAAAUGAAGUUAAAGCAUUUGUGCUGUGUCUUCAUAAUUUCUUGUUUAGUAGUCUGUCAGAAAGUUUUUCCUAUGGUGAAAAGUUGCAUUGGUAUGUGUCUGUCUUUAUGAUUGUACCAAUUCCUCUGUAUUUCAUUGCAUUUCGUACUAUUUGUAAGGGUUUAGUUCGAGUGUAACAUCUUGUAUGGUGCAACUAUGUAUGUCUUCUUUCUUGAUUAUUGAAAUUAUAAUCAAAAUUAAUACAUGUUCUUUUUAUUAGCUUAAGGGCGUAAAAACACUUCAAAAUUUUCAAAAAAUAAAAUAAAAUUUUAAGUCCCUCUUUUUUUUACACUCAAUUGAAAUUUUUAAAAUGUAUCAAAAAUAUCUUUACAGUUCUUCAAAAAAAAAAACAAUUAAACCCCUAUUUUUUUUCCGCUCAAUUGGGUACUUGAACUUUCAUAAUGCAUCAAAAAUGCCUUAAAUUUUUUUCAAAAAAGCAAUUAAGCCCCUACUCUUAUUAAAAAUUAGAAAAAAAUCAUAAAAAUAAUAAAUUUUAGAAAAAAUUAUUAAAUUUUAAUAAAAAUUUAAAAUUUUAUUAAAAAUUAGAAUUUUUUUUUAGAAAAAUCGUCAAAAAAUAAAAAAUUAUAAAAUCCAUCAAAAAGUUUUAACAAUUAACUUUAACUAUUGAUCGUUAAAGUUAACGACCUCUAGUUUUUUCAAUUAAAGUCAUUAUGUGUCGCAACUCAACGUGACAUGUAGCGAAAAUAGAUAAAAAAGUAAAAAUCAAUAAAAGUUAUAGAAAAAUUAUAAAAUAUUUCUUUUGGUAGAAUAAUUUUUAUAAAUUUUUUUUACAAAAUUUAUAUUUCUUUACAUUUUGUAUAAUUUUCUUAUAACUUUAUAAAAUUUUAUAAAUUUUUAUAUUUCUAUAUAUUUUAAAAUUUUUUAAAAUUUUUAUAAAAUUUUACAAUUUUUAUAUAUUUUUAAUAAAUUUUUAAUAUUUGAUUUUUUAUUAAAAUUUAAUAAUAUUAUAGAUUUUAUUGAUUUUAAUUUUUUAUCUAAUUUUUAAUAAAAUUAGGGGGUUAAUUGCUUUUUUUUUAAGUUUGAGGGUCUUUUUGAUGCAUUUUGAAAGUUCAAGUACCCAAUUGACUGCAAAACAAAAAGAAAAAAAGUAGGGGCUUAAUUGCUUUUUUUGAAAAUGUUUGAGGGCUUUUUUGAUGUAUUUUGAAAGUUCAAGUACCCAAAUGAGUGCAUAAAAAGAACAGGGGUUUAGUUGCUAUUUUGAAAAAGUUUGAGGGCUUUUUGCACCUUUAAACCUCUUUUCUUUUUCUAAAUUUAAUUUAGAACCAACUUUGUGUAAAGACUUGGGAAAUUUAAUUAGCAAAAUUUCUUUCCAUGUAAAAAUUUCCCCUAUUUCUUGUUUGAAUUUAAAGCAAUACAAUAUUUUUCUAGCAAAUAAUAGAAAAUGACAGUCAAUUAAUUCCAGCAAUACAACAUUUCCAGUCUGGUGGAAAACAGCUAGGGACCAAAUUUUUAAAGUGUUGUUUACUACACACUUAGGGACCAUAUAUGUAUAUAUAUAUAUUCCAGUCUGGGUCUUUGUCGUGUUUUGUUGGUUGGCUAUGGCCUUCUUGUUGUUUCAUGGCCACUGCCCGUGAAUUAAGUCAUAUGUGGCCUUGUUUGCUAGACCUUAGUUGCUAAGUUAAAGGGAGUGAAUAGAGCACCAUAUUUCUUCUUCUGCGUGGAAAAUAAGUUGGCAUUAUGCCAAAUUCCACAUUCAUACAUAGAAAGGAAGCAAGGCCAAGUCAUUAUACUUUGUAAUCUCAUCAAUUCUAAUUAUUUCACUUCUUCAUUCUUUAGGGAGUUCAAGUGAAAUACAAAUUUUUCCACAUCCAAUCUCAUAAAUAAUCCGUCUUUGAACUUUCACAAAAAAAUAUUAAAUACCCAUUCACUUUAAUUCUACUAUUCUUAAAUCAUUCAAGUUUUGUGGAAAAUAUGCUUCUUGGAUAAAAUUAUUCAACACACAUGCCUUGAAUUUUAUGCAAUAAAAUAAAUCAAUAUAGGCCACACAUGCUUUGAAUAUUUAAGUAGUCCACAAUUUUGUUCGUUUGUGUGCAAAAUUCUACAUUGCUUGACAGCCAUACAUUCUAAGUAAAUAGACACCCACAUUGUUUACGUAUUAUGAAGAAGAAGACUAAGUCAGUCUACUUUGUAAUCUCAUCAAUCUUAAUUUUCUCAGUUAUUUAGGGAGUUCAAAUGAAAUACAAAAUUUUGGGAAAAAAAAUGUAUCCAAUUUUGUGAAUGAAAAAUAUAUGGUAAAAAGGAUUUGGUAUGGAUACUUCGGCUCGGGUAUCAAUACUCAGGGUAAGUUUAUCGAUACAUUGCUUUUGGUUGGAAAGUGGUGUUGAUAGGUGAUGACUAAAAUUUGAUAAAUUUGAAAAGUACAUGAAAUUUAACGAUUAUUGUUUGGUGAUGACUAAAAUUUUAAAAUUUGAAAAGUACAUGAACUAAAAAUGACCAAAUUAAAGUAUAAAGAUUAAGUCCACAACUUUUGCAAAGUACAAGGACUAAUAGCAGAAAUUAACCUAAAUUUCAUAUGGGUCAAUUACAAAAAUAAUCACUAAACUAUUCCUUUGGUUCUAUUCUAGUCACUCAACUAUAGAGGUGCUCAUGGGCUGAGCCAGGUCAAGCCUAAGUAUGAUAUUAAUGUAUUUUAUACUUGCUCAAGCUUGGCUCGGCCUGAAAUAUGAGCUUAAAAUUUUGCCUGAACUCAUCCAUAUUUGCAAAAGACUAACCCAAGCUCAUUUUAAGCAUGCCUAUAUAAUUUUUAAUUUUUUUUAAAUAUUUAUAUUAUAUUAUAUUAAUUAAUAAUUUAAACAUUUUUUAUUUAUUAAAAUUUUUUAUAGUCAUUUUAACAUUAUUUUAAUGUUUACAUUAUAGUAUUAUUAUAUAUUUAGUAUAAGUAUUUUUUUAAUAUGUUCUAAUUUAUAUAAUAUAAAGUAUUAUACACUUAAAAACGGGCCGGGCUGGGCUUGAGCUUUAGUUGUUACUCAACUAUUAAUUUUUUCGAUUUAGUUGUUAACCUUUUCAAAAGUAAAUAUUUUAGUCAGUCUCCUAUUAGUUGUUGUUAAAUGAGUGACGGAAAGCUAAUGUGAGCUUUUUUUAUUAGUCUAAUAACAAAUUUAGCCCUCCAAUGUUUACACAUUCUAUCAAUUUGAUCGUAAAUAUAAAAAAAAAAUCAACAAAUUUAGCCCUGAAUAUUAACAAAACUUGUCAUUUUAGUUCAAAUUCUAAAAAAUUUAAUAAAUUUAACCUUUAAUAUUUUCAAAAAAAUAGCAAUUUAGUUCUAAUUCUAAAAAUUUUAAUAUAUAUAUUUAAAAAAAUAUUUCUAAUCCUCUGUCUCACCCUUUGAUUUUUUAGAUGAGCUAAAAUCAAAAUAUAUCAUUAUGUCUUUUUGUUUUAAUGCUAAAAGAGAUAAAAAAAAAUGGAAAGCUAAAAUGGCUUUUCGUUUGUGAAGUUACAAAAUGCCAAAUAAAUUAUUAUGUCUUUUUAGUUUUAAUUUUUUACUUGAUUAAAAGAGAAAUAAUUAACGAAUGAAAAAUAAUUAUUCACAAAUAAAUUUAUCAGAAUUUAUAACAAAUGAGAUUUUAAAUUUGAAUUUAUAAAUCAAAAUUUAUAUAUAUAUAUAUAUAAAAGAAAACACAUUUUUAUGAAAUAUAAGAUUUUGUUAAAAGAAAGAGCAUAUAAAAGCAUACACGUUUUUAUGAAAUACAAGAUUUUGCUAAAAGAAAAAGCAUCCAAUUUUAAGAAUGAAAAAUAUAUGGUAAAAGCAUCCAUAACUUUUCAAUAUAAAAGAAAAAAAAGACUAACACCAAUGUUGUGGUAUUAUUUGUUGCCUAUAAAUACCAUUCCUAUCCUUCUUCUUCCUCUACAAACAUAACAUGGCCCCCUAUCUCUUUCUCUGCCUAUUCCUCUUCUUUCCCCAUCUUUAUGCUUCUUUUCUUCUUCAGAAUCUCACUCCUGCUCUUCACUAAUCCAGUUUAAGGACUCUUUUUCCAUCACAAAGGAUGCUUCCUGGUAUUUCGAUUAUAUUACUGGCCUUAAAUCUUAUCCCAAGACAAAUUCAUGGAAGGAGGGUACAGAUUGCUGCUCAUGGGAUGGGGUCACUUGUGACCACCUAAAUGCUCAUGUUAUUGCCCUUGACUUGAGCUGCAGUUGGCUAUAUGGCACCUUCCCUUCCAAUACCACUCUCUUCCUUCUUCCUCACCUUCAAAAACUCAACCUUGCCUACAAUCAUUUUAAUUCUUCCAAAAUUCCAUCCGAGUUCGGUCGGUUUACAAGCCUAUUCUACCUCAACCUUUCCAAUACAUGGUUUUCAGAAGUCCCAUCCCAAGUCUCCCACCUGUCAAAAUUGGUUUCACUUGAUCUCUCCUCUCGGAUUGAUUACUCUGGGCAAGUUACAAUUGACAAACAUGCUCUGGAGGGACUUGUUCACAACCUAACCGAGGUCAGACAUCUGUUUUUGGAUGGAAUCAACAUGACUUCUGUUAAUGCUCAUGUCUUCAUGAAUCUAUCCUCUUCUCUAAGGUCUCUCAGUCUUGCUUUUUGUGAUUUGCAAGGAAAAUUCCCAAAAAACAUUUUUGAUUUGCAAAACCUCAAUCUCCUCAACUUGAGAUACAACCAAUUGAGUGGACAAAUUCCAAGAUCAUUGGGGAACCUCUUGCAACUCACUCAUUUACACUUGUCGGGGAACCAAUUGAGUGGACAAAUUCCAUUGUCAAUUCUAAACCUAACGCAGUUGGAAUACUUGGAAAUAUCUGAAAAUUCUUUAGAAGGUUCCAUUCCAGAUGAGGUAACCGCUUUUCCUAAUCUAAUAUAUUUAUACUUAUCUGACAAUUUACUCAAUGGAACACUUCCGUCAUGGUUGUAUACUGCUCCCUGCUUAAAGGAAAUAUAUCUCUCUCAAAAUCAAUUCAGUGGGCAUAUCAAAGAAUUCCAAACCAAAUCACUAGAAUAUUUAUAUCUAGAAAAUAAUAAACUCCAAGGUCCCCUUCCAUCUUCAAUAUUCCAACUUCUCAAUCUUACCGGGCUCCUUUUAUCCUCAAAUAAUCUUAGUGGUGUCAUAGAGUUGAGCAUGUUCUCAAACCUUCCAAAUCUCAAAUAUCUUGACCUUUCAUAUAACAGCCUAUCCUUAAUAUCUAAUACUACUUCUACUGUUAAUCAUAUAUUGCCUAAUCUUACAGGCUUACAUUUGUCAUCUUGCAAUCUUAGUGAAUUCCCCCAGUUUUUAAAAGGGCUUAAAAGUUUGGAAAGCUUAGACCUCUCUUGCAACAAAAUUGAAGGCAAGAUUCCACAGUGGAUGCAAGAGGUGGGGAAUGUCUCUUUGACUUACUUCAACGUAUCUCACAACUCUUUGACAGAAGUUGAGCACUUUCCAUGGAAGAAUAUUGAAAGUCUUGACUUAAGCUCCAAUUUGAUCAGUGGAAAUCUUCCGAUUCCAGCUUCGACCAUCAAUGUCUUUCUGAUCUCAAAUAAUAGUUUCAAUGGAGAGGUCUCUUCUUUAAUCUGCAAUGCCAGUGAUCUUGAAAUUCUUGAUUUGUCCCACAAUAACUUGAGUGGAACAAUUCCGCAAUGUUUUGGAAAUUUGAGCAACAGCCUUGAAUUCUUGAAUCUGAAGAAGAACAAGUUCUAUGGGACGAUUCCUCCAAAAUUUGCAAAGGGAUGCCGAUUGACUAAUUUCAACUUAAAUGGAAAUCUGUUAGAAGGGCCAUUGACUCCAUCCAUCCUUAAUUGUAGGGGUCUGGAAGUGCUAGAUCUUGGUAACAACAAGAUCAAUGAUACAUUUCCUCAUUGGUUGGGAAGUCUUCCACAGCUACAAGUUCUUGUAUUGAAGUCAAAUCAUAUGCAUGGUUCCUUAUGUGUCAAUAGCUCCAAGUCUAGCCCUUUUUUCUCUAAAAUCCAAAUUUUUGAUCUCUCAAGUAAUUAUUUUUCUGGACCCCUACCAGUGAGAUACAUCAACAGCUUCAAGGCUAUCAUAAAUCUAGAGAAGAUUGGUAGUACAGUGUCGUACAUGGGGGUGAAUGAUGGCUUCUAUACCUAUUCCAUUGGAAUUGUUAUAAAAGGACAAUAUAUGGAAUUGGUGAAAAUUUUCACCAUGUGGAUGAUCAUUGAUCUAUCAAACAAUCAGUUUGAAGGGGGUAUUCCAGAGGUUUUUGGGAAGCUUAACUUACUGAAAGGGCUCAACCUUUCUCAUAAUAACCUUAAUGGUGGUAUCCCCACCUUAAUAGGGAAUUUGACAAGUCUUGAAUGGUUGGACCUAUCUUCAAACAGGUUGUCUGGGACGAUUCCAAAUAGAUUGGCAGAUCUGCCAUUUCUUUCGUCCUUCAAUGUUUCUGAAAAUCAACUCCAUGGUCAGAUUCCUCAAGGCAAACAGUUCAACACAUUUGGAAAUGAUUCAUAUGAAGGAAACAAGGCAUUAUGUGGAUUUCCGGUCUCAAAAGGUUGCAACAUCAUUGAGCCAGCACCUCCAAAUGUGCUUGAAAAAGAUGGCUCAAAAUCAAACAUUACUUUUGGUUGGAAAGUGGUGUUGAUAGGUUAUGGAUGCGGAGUGGUGUUCGGAAUGUCCGUGGGAUAUGUUGUUUUCCAAACUGGUAAGCCGAAAUGGUUGGUGAAUUUGGUUGAAAUCCAACAUGAGAAGAAGCGAAGAAGAAAGUCAAAGGAUGGCAGUCGCAGCAAUGGACGAAGAAGAAUCUAGUUAGUGGAAAUGAUGUUCAAGUGUUGAUGUUGUAUCUUCAUAAUUUCUUGUUUUGAAGUCUGUCAAAUUUUUUUCCUAUCGUGAAAGGCUGCAUUGCCAUGCAUCUGUCUUUUUUAUUGUAACCAUUCAUCUAUAUUUCAUUGCAUUACGUAGUAUUUGUAAGGGUUUGUUUUAAAUGUAACAUUUUGUAUGGUUCAACUAUUUAUGUCUCUUUCAUGAGUUUCAUUUUUGAGUCUCAAUAAUCUCUGCAUUCAAGAUUUUGUCAGCUUAUUAAUUGGUGGAUCAAUAAUCUUCAUGCUCAUCUCAUCAUCUUUUUCUCGAGUUAAACACAGUCACUACUAUAAUAAUUUCUUCUGUGUGGAAAAUAAUUUGGCAUUCUGCAAAUUUCCACAAUGCUUGUGGAUUACCUCUGGUUGACGGCUAUACAUAUAAAGGAAGGAAACAAGACUAUGUCAAAAUUUCCAAAAAUCAGUCAUUCAUUUUUGAACAAUUAAACAUUCGUAUUCUAUUUUUCAAAAUUGUAAAUCCUCAAAUAAUGUAAAUUAGUCCUAAAACUCAAGUUUUGAAAUCUUUACAAUUUAACCCCUUAUAGUUUCAAACUUUACUAUUUUAUGCUCAACUUUCUAAAUCUUCAUAUUUCAUGAUCAUAUAAUUUAGUUAUUACAUCAAUAUUUCAGAUUUCACUACUCAAACCCUUACUUCAUUUUGGUCCUUACUUCAAUUUUAUCAAAUUAAAUCAUUUUUCAAUUUGAAUGCAUUGAUGUGAAAUUAAGGGACCACUAAACAAUGUUGAUGCGAGUUUAGGCAAAAUUGGUGGAUCCCAUCUCCACAGCAAUUUCUUUAUGGAAGUACUUGCUUUCACACUGCAAACUUGGAUAGUUUGUGGUGGACGAUGAUGAAUCAUUUCACAAUCAAACACACCAUUUUUAAACACAUAUAUUGAAAUCAUUAUUAAAAUUAUAAUCAAAAUUAAUACAAGUUCUUUUUAUUAGCUUAAGGGCGUAAAAACUCUUCAAAAUUUUCCAAAUAAAAAAUAAAAAAUUUAAGUCCCUCUUUUUUUUUUACACUCAAUUGAGUACUUAAACUUUUAAAAUGUAUCAAAAAUAUCUUAACACUUCUUCAAAAAAAGCAAUUAAACCCCCUUUUUUUUCCGCUCAAUUGGGUACUUGAAUUUUCAUAAUGCAUCAAAAAUACCUUAAUUUUUUUUUCAAAGAAACAAUUAAGCCUCUAUUUUUUUCCUACUCAACUAGGUACUUGAACUGUCAAAAAAACAAUUAAGCACCUACUCUUAUUAAAAAUUAGAAAAAAAAUCAUAAAAAUAAGAAAAAUUUAGAAAAAAUUAUUAAAUUUUAAUAAAAAUUUAAAAACUUAUUAAAAAUUAGAAAAAAUUUUAGAAAAAUUGUCAAAAAAUAAAAAAUUAUAAAAUUUUAUAAUUAAGCACUCUUAAAAUUUUGAAAAUUCUCAUUAAUCUCACACAAAUUUAAAAUUUUUUAUUAGACCCCCAAUUUUUUUUAAAAAUGUUAUUAAACCCUUAAAUUUUUAGAAAAUUUUACCUGCCCCCUCCCAAAAAAAAAACUAGUCCCAACUCUUAGGAUCCGCCAUUGGUACUUGGUAUUAACACUAUUAGAAAAUUGCUAAAUCAACCAAUGAAAAUUUGACACAUGGAACCCUUUUUUUAAAUUAUCAAGUUACGGAUGUUCUUCAAGGGCAUGGAACUCAACUUGAAAAUUUUACUAAUUUGGUUGCAAAAAACAUUGAGGAAGCAUAUAAUGAUCUAACCCUUUUUUGUUUUGUUCUGUUUUUAAUUUGUUAUGGGAUUCUAUUGAAUGAUAAUUUUUUUUAUUUCCCAUACUUGGUUCUUCAACAACAACAUAUUCGAGAUUUUAUUUUUCUAGAAUUUUUAUAUAAAAGUUUGUAUUUUUUAAAAUAAUUUUGAGUUUUUUAUAAUUUUUAUAUAGAAUCGAGGUAAAUUGGCAAAAAAUUAUAAAAAACAAAAUACUAAAAUUGUUUAGUUAAGUGACCAAAGCGAAGAUCUACCCAUAGUUCAGUGGCUAAUUAUGUAGUUUACCCUUUCAUAAUUAAAAAAAUAGUUGUUCAGUUUUUCUUGUAUUAGAUAACAUUUUAGAUGGUAAAAACCCUCUUUAGUCCCUCUCAAUUUUGAUAUUAAGUAAAUUGGUCCAUUUUUUUUUAAAAAAAUCAAAGCAAUUUAAUCUUUGUUAAUUUCGAAAGUGAGCAACUAAGGACAAUUAAUCACAAUGUCAAUAUUUUCCAUCAAUUGUACAUAUUUUUAUUGGUAUAAUAACAAAUUUAGCUCUCCAAGUUUACACAUUCUAUCAAUUUGUUUUGAUUUAACAAAUUUAGCCCGCAACAGUUACAUAUUCUAUUAACAUUUACACAUAAUAUAUAAACAUCGAGAGCUUAAUUUGUUAUUAUAUAAAUAAAAUUAUGUACAAUUUACAGAAAGCAUUAACACAAUAAUUAAUUGUCCUUAGUUGCUCCAUUUCAAAAUUGAUAAUGAUUAAAUUGCUCUAAUUUUCUGAGAGAAACCAAUUUCUUCAAUAUAGAAAUUGAGAGGGACGAGAAAUGUGUUUUUAUCCAUUUUAGAUACUAACAAGUGUUUGGCGUAGUGGCAAGGCAUAUUACAUUCUCAAGGAGAGAAUGCGUAUUCAAACGUUGGAGAUAAUAAUAUUGUGUGGGGUAUCCACGGAUCUCGAACACAGACUGUAAAACAUAUAUAAAAAAUAAAAAGAAUAACAUCUUAAUUUAAAUAAUUAAUAAAUUUUAAUUUCAAAAAAGUAUUUUGAGAAACAUAGGUUUUAGUAAAUAGUAAAAUUGAAUCGAUAAAACAUGUCCAGUAUAUCAGAAUCAUAAAAAUACAACUUAAUUAAUUUGAAUUUAAACUUAACUCGACUCAAUUUGAUUAUAAAAAACUGAUAAUUUGAAUCCAAAAUGACAUGAUCUUGAAAUGAUUUGAAUUAAUUGUCAAACCCAAACGACAAAACUCGAAAUGAUGCAAUCCAAAAACACAAGUCAAAUGAACUAAACUAUGAAAGAAAAAAAAAACCUUACACCGACUCAAAUCCAAAAUAAUUUAAUCCUAAAAUAACCCAAAUUUUAUAUAAUAUAAACUCGAAAUAACCCGAUAAUUUUUUUCAGUCUUACUGUGUUUAUCUUUAUAAGUAUUCUUGUUUUCCUUGCCCAUACAUGUAUUGUAGUUAUCAAAAAAUAUAUUCUACUUUGGAUUUUAUUUAUAUUAAAUUUUAGGUUAAAUUCCGCUAUUACUCUCUGUACUUUAUGAAAAUGAUGGAUUUAAUCAUUGUACGUUAAUUUAAUCAAUUUUAGUCUUUGUAUUUUUUGAAUUGGUCAAUUUUAAACCAUUUACUUUUUGAAUUUUGAAAUUUUAGUCUUGAUUCAAAUAAUAUUAAUAAUAAUAAAAUCUGCUUAUUUAAAUUUAAUUAUUAGUUUUGUACUAUGUAGACAAUUAUAGAUUUAAUCCAUAUUUUUCAAUUGGGUCAUUCCAAGUCUUUAUACUUUUCAAAUUUUAAAAUUUCAAUAUUGAUGCAGAAUGCGAGUUGCUAUUAAUUAAUUGAUUUUUUUAGCCAAUGCAUGUAGAAAUAAUAAGUUGUUAUGUCAUUAUACUUAAAAUAAUAUAUUGGUUUAACCCGCUUAAAUUAUGUCUUUUUUUCCAUCUUGGGACCUAAAUUUUUUUGGGGUCAUAAGUGGUACCUAAACUACUUUUUUUUCUCCUUCAAAUUAGGGCUCCUUUGGAUCACCAGCAAGUUUCAGUGUGGUGAGAUUUAAAGAGUAAAAAAAAUUUGAACUGAAACGCAGCUCUAUUUGGGGUGUUUGGCAAGCACACCAGUAAGCAUUUUUCACCUCACUGUAACCCAAAAUAUUGGCUGGAGUUAAAAGCUUCAGUGGACUGAUUUGGAAGUCCAAAAAUAAGAGUAAUUAUUAUUUUACCCCUCCAAUUCUUCCUUUAUUAUUUAUUUUAUUUAAAACAGAUAACAUAAGUUUAAUAUGUCAUUAUUUAAUAUUAUUUAAUUUACAAUAAAAUUAUAAUUUUUAUUUAUAAAUUUAGUAUAAAUACAAUUUAAUUUAUAUUUUAUUAUUUGAUUCAAAUAUAAUCUGUAAAAAUAUUUUGAUAUUUUAUUAUGAAUAUAAUUUAAAAAUAUUUUAUUGUAUAUUUAAAAUAUUUUGAUAUUUUAUUAUGAAUAUAAUCUGUAAAAUAUUUUGAUAUUUUUGAAUUUUUCUCUAGUUUUAAUUUAUUUUUAAUUAUUUAUUAUUAAAAAUAAAUAUAAUUGUAAUAAUUUUUAAUUAUUUAUUAAUUUUGUAAUUGUUAAAUAAUUUUAAAAACUUCUAUUAUAUAUAUUUUUAAUCUAAUGUCCUUAAAAGUCAUUUUCUAUUUUCACCUCACCGCUACAACUGCGUUUGAAUCCAAACACACACUCCACCGCUGUUUCUAAUCUCACCGCUACAGUAUCCAAUCUCACCGCUACAGUACCUAAUCUCACCGCCACCGCUGUUUUUAACCUUACCGGAACUAAACACACCGCCCAUCCAAACCCACCCUUAGUAUAUUCAUUAGUUAAACUGUUAAGUCUAUUUAAAAAAGAAAGACUCGGACAACAAAUUAAUACUUAAACAAUGCUCUUUUUCCCAAGGUACCUAAUUUUUAUUUUGGCCAUGAGUAUUACUAAAACUAUUAUUCCAUUACUCAUUUUACACCAAAAUGUUAUAUCGGCUGAAAAGAUUCCAACAAAUAAUAGAUUGUAUGUCAUAUAAACUUUUAAAAAUAAUUAUUAAUUAAUUUUUUUCAUAUAAACUGAACGGUUUGACUAAUGACGGAGGUACCAAAUUAUAGUCUAGGUACCAAUUUAUGGGUUAAGCCUAUUUCUAAAAUAGACUUUUGACUAAUGGCGGUAGUAACUUGGGAAAAAAAAGUAGUUUAUGUACCACUUGUGAACAAAAAUAAGUUUAGGUACCAACAUCGUAAAAUGAGUAUAAUUUAGAUACCGAUUUAUGAGUUAAGCCUAAUAUAUUUGUUGCAUCAUUUUUUUGAAAAUAACAGAACUUAAUAAAUUUAACGGUUAUUUUUUGGUGAUGACUAAAAUUUUAAAAUUUGAAAAGUACAUGAACUAAAAAUGACCAAAUUAAAGUAUAAAGAUUAAGUCCACAACUUUUACAAAGUACAAGGAGUAAUAGCAGAAAUUAACCUAAAUUUCAUAUGGGUCACUUACAAAAAUAAUCACUAAACUAUUCCUUUGGUUCUAUUCUAGUCACUCAACUAUAAAGGUGCUCAUGAGCCGGGCCAGGUCAGGCCUAAGCAUGAUAUUAACGUACCUUAUGCUUGCUCAAGCUUGGCUCGGCCCGAAAUAUGAGCUUAAAAUUUCGCCUAAACUCAUCCAUAUUUGCAAAAGACUAACCUAAGCUCAUUUUAGGCAUGCCCAUAUAAUUUUUAGUUUUUUUUUAAUAUUUAUAUUAUAUUAUAUUAAUAAUUAAUAAUUUAAACUUUUUUUAUUUAUUGAAACUUUUUAUAUAGUCAUUUUAACAUUAUUUUAAUGUUUACAUUAUAGUAUUAUUAUAUAUUUAGUAUAAGUUUAUUUUGUUAAUCUAUUCUAAACUAUAUAAUAUAAAGUAUCAUACACUUAAAAAUAGGCCGAGCUGGGCUUGAGCUUUGAAUGUUCAAGCCUGAACUCAGCCCAAAUUUUAAACGGGCCUAAUUUUUUUACCCAAACCCAAUUUUUGGGCCUAAUAUUUUUAUCCAGACCCUCCCAAAUUUUGGGCAGCCCUUGGGCCUUGGCAAGUAGCCCAACUCAUUAACAAGUUUACUCAACUAUUAAUUUUUUCGAUUUAGUUGUUAACCUUUUCGAAAGUAAAUAUUUUAGUCACUCUCCUGUUAGGUGUUGUUAAAUGAGUGAUGGAAAGCUAAUGUGGGCUUUUUUUAUUAGUCUAAAAACAAAUUUUGCCCUCUAAUGUUUACACUUCUAUCAAUUUGAUCCUAGAUAUAAAAAAAAAUCAAAAAAUUUAGCCCUGAAUAUUAUCAAAAAUUAGCGAUUUAGUUCUAAUUCUAAAAAUUUUAAUAUAUACAUAUAUUUAAAAAAAUAUUUUUAAUCCUCUGUCUCACCCUUUGAUUUUUUUAGAGAUAUUCAAAAAUUAAAAUAUAUCAUUAUGUCUUUUCGUUUUAAUGCUAAAAGAGAUAAAAAAAAUAGAAAGCUAAAAUGACUUUUCAUUUGUAAAGUUAAAAAAUACUAAAUAAAUCAUUAUAUCUUUUUAGUUUUAAUUUUUUACUUGAUUAAAAGAGAAAUAAUUAACGAAUGAAAAAUAAUUAUUCCCAAAUAAAUUUAUAAGAAAUGAGAUUUUGCUAAAAGAAAAAGCAUGUAAAAGUAUACACGUUCUUAUGAAAUACAAAGAUUUUGCUAAAAGAAAAAGUAUCCAAUUUUAAGAAUGAAAAAUAUAUGGUAAAAGGAAGACUAAGUGGUUGUUGAAAAAUACAAAAAUUUUGAAAAUCUAAUAUCCAUAACUUUUCAAUGUAAAAGAAAAAAAUGACUGUAACACCAAUGUUGUGGUAUUAUUUGUUGCCUAUAAGUACCAUUCCUAUCCUUCAUCUUCCUCUACCAACAUAACAUGGCCUCCUAUCUCUUUCUGUCCCUGUUCCUCUUCUUUCCCCAUCUUUAUGCUUCUUUUUCUUCUUCAGGAUCUCACUCCUGCUCUUCACUAAUCCAGUUCAAGAACUCUUUUUCCAUCACAGAGUAUGCUUCUUAUCAUUGCAAUGAGAUUGCUGGCCUUCAAUCUUAUCCCAAGACAAAUUCAUGGAAGGAGGGUACAGAUUGCUGCUCAUGGGAUGGGGUCACUUGUGACCACCUAAAUGCUCAUGUUAUUGCCCUUGACUUGAGCUGCAGUUGGCUAUAUGGCAACUUCCCUUCCAAUUCCACUCUCUUCCUUCUUCCUCACCUUCAAAAACUCAACCUUGCCUACAAUCAUUUUAAUCGUUCCAAAAUGCCAUCCGAGUUCGGUCGGUUUACAAGCCUACUCUACCUCGACCUUUCCAGUACAGGGUUUGCAGGAGAAGUCCCAUCCCAAGUCUCCCACUUGUCAAAAUUGGUUUCACUUAAUCUUUCUUGGAUUGGACAACAAUUAACAAUUGACAAACAUGCUCUGGAGGGACUUGUUCACAACCUAACCGAGGUCAGGUAUCUGUUUUUGGAUGGAAUCAACAUGGCUUCUGUUAAUGCUCAAGUCUUUAUGAAUCUAUCCUCUUCUCUAAGGUCUCUCAGUCUUUCUGGUUGUGAUUUGCAAGGAAAAUUCCCAAAAAACAUUUUUGAUUUGCCAAACCUCAAUCUCCUCAACUUUGGAGACAACCAAUUGAGUGGACAAAUUCCAAGAUUAUUGGGGAACCUCUUGCAACUCACUUCUUUAGACUUGUCGUUGAACCAAUUGAGUGGACAAAUUCCAUUGUCAAUUCUAAACCUAACGCAGCUGGAAUUUUUGGCAAUAUCUGAAAAUUUAUUAGAAGGUUCCAUUCCAGAUGAAGUAACCGCUUUUCCUAACCUAAAAUUUUUAUACUUAGAUAACAAUUUACUCAGUGGAACACUUCCGUCAUGGUUGUAUACUGCUCCCUCAUUAGACAGUAUAGGUCUCUCUCAAAAUCAAUUCAGUGGGCAUAUCAAAGAAUUCCAAUCCAAAUCACUAGAAUGGAUAGCGUUAGAGAAUAAUAAACUCCAAGGUCCUCUUCCAUCUUCAAUAUUCCAACUUCUCAAUCUUACCCGCCUCUUUUUAUCCUCAAAUAAUCUUAGUGGUGUCAUAGAGUUUCGCAUGUUCUCAAACCUUCCAAAUCUCGACCUUCUUGACCUUUCAUAUAACAGCCUAUCCUUAACAUCUAAUACUACUU